GCUGAUCGCGCAUGACGUAUGAUACGUACACGAUACGAAUGCCGAAUACGAGCACGAAAAGCACAUGCGAGAAUAAUUUGAUAAUCUGUGAUUUGUUUCAUGUUGAAACUGCAAAUUCUGGUGUCCCAACAAUGGUGCAAUUAGAAGCAAAGUGUACAGCGAUCGUCAAAUACAGUCAAACACAGUACACGAGAUUGGCAGCGCUGCAUUACUGGCAAUUAGCCAGCUUAUUAGAGGCGAGGUGGCUGUUUGGUAUGCUACCAUAUCAUCUCGCAACUUGGUUUGUUUAAGUGUGGUGGAGUAAUACCUUCAAAUCUAAUCUAGCUAUCAACAAGAAGCUUUUUUUUAUCAAACCAGUAAGAUUUUUUACCUCCAUUCUCGACUGGUCGUUUUUCUUGCUGCCACCAAAUGUUGGAAUCGAGGAAUUAUUCAAAGUUAAUUAAAAUUUCAUUCUUCUCUAAGUUUGUCUCGCUCAAAAUUAAUAAUUUAGCAGUUCAAUAAAGCAUGCCCAUAAAUGAAAAGUCAACGUCUUAACUUUUUGCCAAAUAAUUAAGACCUACGUAAAUUUAUACGCUAAUUGUUACUCUUGUAGGUACGUUGUAAGUUUUUAUUAGUUAGCAUGAAUCUGGACCUACGUCUGUAUGAAUUGUCGCUAACGGUGGUCCAUAAUAGGAAUAAAUGGACAGAUUUGAUUUGAUAAAAAAACACUAUUGCUAGGAUUAGUUCAUGCAUUUGUUUUGAAAUGUUUUAUUGUUUAGAAUGGAAUAUUGAGAAAUGUGUUCAAUAAUUUUUAAGUUGAUCAAGAUUUACCAAAAAGAAAAGUUUCAUGUUAUUAGUUAUAUUUUAUAUUUUAUAAUUGUCAUUAUUAAUAACCAACUUCCAAAUAUUCUAAACCAAACAAUUAAAAAUUUGUACCACUAAGCAAUUAAAAUAAUUUUUUUUAUAAUAUGAAACCUGAAAUGAACAAUUUUAGGUAUAGCCAAGUUAAUGAAUUAAGUUAUUAUUUGUUGGAACACCAGUUUUUGUGAAAAAAAAAUGUCAGCUAACACAAUUAACAACGAACAAACAGGCUUAUAAAGCAAACUUAUUAGUUGUCCAUUUUCAAUUUUUUCUUGGGUAUUCAAGUUUCUGUUUUAGAAAUUGACCCACUUUAGAUGCUUAAUAAAUUAAGUAGUCAGUAACAUUUAAAUUUUUUCCGUUUUAAAUAAAACUUGAAAACAAAUUUGAGCAUAGAGUAAGCAAGUAAAUUUAUGCAGUUUUUUUUGUGGGAAGUGAAGAGCUAAUAAAAUUAUUUUAAACAAUGGACCAUUUGAACAUAAAUAGUGAAUAUCCAUGUCAAAACUUUAAGUUUCAACUUCAAAUAAAUAUUCUAAUAAUCUCAAUUCUCCGCAUUCACAUAUCUAUUAGUGUCAUAUUCCCUGAAGCGUAUCAUCUUGUACAGGGUUAUUGAUUAAACUUUGGCCACCGCGUUUGUGCAUCUUAGUUGAAAUUUAAAGAAAAAUGAAAUAGAAACUUUGUAGAUAUUAAAGUCUAGAUUAUUUAAAGAUAAUUGAUGCAGGGUGUCUCAAAUUCGAGUGGCAGACCAAACUAACUUACCUUUUUAAGAAGGAAUGCCUCACUUUUUAUUGCAUAUUCGAACCAUUCGCACAAUUCUAGGCCUGUUCGAUAUAAAUCUUCUAUAAUGAUUUUUAACUGUUUUUGAGUUAAUAACCAAUAUUGAUUGCUUGCUAAAUGCAAAACUUGUAGAUACUAACGUCUAGUUUAUUCUAAGAUAAAACCAAUUGAUACAGAAUGUCUCAAAGUGAUAGACCCCAUUUACCUUUUUUUAAAUGGAAUGGAGCACUUUUAUUGCAUAUUCGAACUAUUUGCACAAUUCUAGGCCCACUCGAUACAAAUGCUUUAUAAUAAUUUUUACCUGUUUUUGAGUUAAUAACCAAUAUUGAUUGAACUUAGGCCACCCCGUUUUUGCAUCUAAUUUGAGAUUUAAAGAAAAAUGUUAAAUCUUCAGUCCCCAGCAAAUAGUCUGCGCAUUUACAUUUUCAUACAUUAAGCGUUUCAGUUUGGUCCGGUAAAGAUGUAUUUCCGCUUUAUGGCAAAAAAAUUAUUUGUAAUUGCUCUUCUACUUGACCAUGCGUAAUGAAGAAACAAGCUAUUCGGCAAUAAAAAGACGAUUUGCAUUACAUCCAAUGCUGAAAGAAAGGAAAAGGAAAGGCGAAUACUGGACUCAAUACAAAUAAUUAAUUGAUGACGAUGAAAACUAUUAUGAAUAUUUUAGAAUGAAUAGGAUUAGCUUCGAGUGCAAUUAAUUUUUCUAAAUCCAUUUCAAAUAGUACUAAAUUAAGAUAAAAAAUAAGUUUGUCAAACGACGAUUGGAAAUCAACUAAUCUGAUUCUGAAUCUGACUUUAUUCAUAUUUUGUGGUUGAUUAGUGACCGUGAUGAUAAUCAGCAAUUAAUUUUUCAAUAGUGGGAUUUUCGGUCAACGGAUGGUG